rnacentral:tRNA from 1 species
GACAUGCUUGGGGUGGUCGAUCCGGCCCUGGUGCGUUCCGGGGAGCGGAGGAUCAUCGUCGAGUUGCCGGGGGUCUUGGAUCCCCGGCAGGCCGCC